GCCUUUGCCGCCCGGUCCGCCUAUUUGGGUGUGUACUGGAGCGGUGGAGGCUUACCUCGUGGUGAGCUGUUAUGCCCUUUACUGGGUGUGGCAGGGAACCAUGAUUUUUACUUUGAAAAAAUUAGAGUGUUCAAAGCAGGCUUACGCCCGAAUACAUUAGCAUGGAAUAAUAAAAUAGGACGUGCGGUCCUAUUUUGUUGGUUUCUAGGAUCGCCGUA
rnacentral:rRNA from 1 species